rnacentral:rRNA from 1 species
UGCCAGCAGCCGCGGUAAUACGUAAGGGGCAAGCGUUAUCCGGAAUUAUUGGGCGUAAAGCGUCUGCAGGUGGAGGCAUAAGUAGGUUAUUAAAUACCGGAGCUCAACUUCGGUGCCGUAAUCUAAACUGUGUUUCUAGAGGGUGGGAGAGGUAUGCGGAAUUGUGCAAGUAGGGGUAAAAUCCGUAGAUAUGCACAGGAACACCAAAAGCGAAGGCAGCAUACUGGACCAUUCCUGACACUCAGAGACGAAAGCGUAGGUAGCAAAACGGAUUAGAUA